GGGAUUGCCCCAGUAACGGCGAGUGAAGCGGCAACAGCUCAAAUUUGAAAUCUGGCCCCAGGCCCGAGUUGUAAUUUGCAGAGGAUGCUUUUGGCGCGGUGCCUUCCGAGUUCCCUGGAACGGGACGCCAUAGAGGGUGAGAGCCCCGUACGGUUGGACACCAAGCCUUUGUAAAGCUCCUUCGACGAGUCGAGUAGUUUGGGAAUGCUGCUCUAAAUGGGAGGUACAUUUCUUCUAAAGCUAAAUAUUGGCCAGAGACCGAUAGCGCACAAGUAGAGUGAUCGAAAGAUGAAAAGCACUUUGAAAAGAGGGUUAAACAGCACGUGAAAUUGUUAAAAGGGAAGCGCUUGUGACCAGACUUGCGUCCGGUGAAUCACCCAGCUCUCGCGGCUGGGGCACUUCGCCGGCACAGGCCAGCAUCAGCUUGCCGUCGGGGACAAAAGCUUCAGGAACGUGGCUCCUCUCGGGGAGUGUUAUAGCCUGUUGCAUAAUACCCUUCGGCGGGCUGAGGUACGCGCUCCGCAAGGAUGCUGGCGUAAUGGUCAUCAGCGACCCG
rnacentral:rRNA from 1 species